rnacentral:lncRNA from 1 species
AAAAAUUCACUAGUUUUGCGCUUUUGCAAAAGUGGGCCACAUUUUUUAUUUUUGCAGAUUCGGACUCAAUUUUCAGCCGCCUGACCAAAAUGCCCCUCGUAUACAAAUGCUCUCCGCGUAUUUCUUAAGAUACGUUUACCCUACCGUACGGUCUUGACGGGCAAUAAAUGCGUCCCCAUGCGCUUUACGCAAUUUUGCUCUUUUUCGAAACUCGGACCACAUCUGUCCUGCUAUUCGCCAGUCCCGCUAUUUGGUGCUCGGUUUUAAGAAUUUAAAAUAUCUGAAGCUAAAAGCCAAGAACUGUGCAGCACGCAACAGAAAUAAUAGUGCAACGCCCCGAAGCAACGCAAGAAAAAAUGAUGCAAUAGCCCUACUAACAGUGCAUCCAUCGGCUCGCUCCAGUGCAAUCUCCACCAAAGCAGAUCAGCGACACUCGCCUUCAAUCUGCUCCCUCACUAGGGCAACCUCCCACCCUCACUUCCGAAACCAUAAAAAGCAUAGGGGAGUUAGUGGAAUAAGCUCCGCCGAGGGACAUGGCUUUAGGGUCUGGAAUAUGAGGAGGGAGGAAGUGGUUCCGCGGUGGCGGGGCAGGACGGUCAGCGGCGAGUGCAACGUUCGAGAGGUGAGAUAUAACUGCUAAACGAUUGAAGAAGAUAAUAGUGUAAAGUUUCUUAUAAAAUCUCACGUCCUUCUUUCAACCGUAUAAUAAGU